rnacentral:lncRNA from 1 species
CACACACAUCUGCACCAAACUCUAGACUCAGUCGCUGAACUGGCUGUCAAUAACAGUCAGAUGACUACCUGACCUACUUUAUAUGUUAACAGCAUCUCACAGCUGAAUAAAGGGUUGAUUAAGAGCAAUCACUGUAGAGCAAUCUGUGGAGACCUGUUCUACCUGUGACUGAUAGGCAGACCGUGCCCCUUUCUUACCGUCUGAGGGAUUUGCGCUUGGCCACAGUGUGAGGAACUCUAAGGAACUUACCUUUCUAAAGGUGUGAUCAGACAAGCUGGCACGUUCUACCGCAAUUCACAGUAUAAUAGUAUAAUACAGACCCCCUUCAUGCUCUAUACCU